UUAAUUGAAACCAAAAUGAGGUAUACCAUUGUUAAUGGUACCAUUGGCAGGCACCCCCCCCCAAUUA
rnacentral:tRNA from 1 species